rnacentral:rRNA from 1 species
UACGUAGGGGCCGAGCGUUGUCCGGAGUUAUUGGGCGUAAAGCGCGCGCAGGCGGCUUGGCGCGCCCGACGUGAAAGCCCCCGGCUUAACCGGGGAGGGUCGUCGGGUACGGCCAGGCUUGAGGGCGGGAGAGGGUGGUGGAAUUCCCGGUGUAGUGGUGAAAUGCGUAGAGAUCGGGAGGAACACCUGUGGCGAAGGCGGUUCUCUGGGCCUGACCUGACGCUGAGGAGCGAAAGCGUGGGGAGCGAACAGG